AUUGGACGCCUUUACUUCCUGCUGCUCACUGA
rnacentral:piRNA from 1 species